AUCACAGAUAAAAGUGAAAGUAAAAGAAAGCUGAUGUUUCGCCAUUUUAAACAGACUGUCGAUUCCUUCCACUUUAAAUUAUUAUUACAUUUUUCAUAGAAACUUUUAUAAAACCUUAGACAGGAAUUUAUGUGAAGCGUGAUGGAAGAGAUGGAGGAGUUUGUGAAUCGGGUGGCUGUGUAGAUUUUGAUGAAGGUGAUUGUUCACAUCUCCCUUUACAGAGUCAGUGGACUGUUUUGACUGUUCAGCUUCAUUAUGGAUGACACACAAACAUCCAGAGAUGAAGAUUUUUCUCCAGGAUUCAGUUCAGUUCAGCAGGAGAGAUCAGAGCCAGAGCCCAGCUGUGUGUCUAUGAGGAGUGACAGGUCUAUGCCUCUUCCAUUCAAUUUUAAGAAUGAGGAUACACAGACUGAUCUCAGGUCAAUCCUGCCACAAAGAUCAGCCGUAACAAAACCCGUCUGUAAGAAGAACGACCAGUCUAUGAAUCAACUACAGGACUUUGAUGAAAGCAGCCAUGAAGUCCUCAAGUUUAGAUCAAAUCUGAUGAAGAAGUUUGAGCAUCUGUAUGAAGGAACAGCAAAGCAGGGAAACCCAACACUCCUGAAUGAGAUCUACACAGAGCUCUACAUCACAGAGGGUGACAGUGGAGAGAUCAGUAAUGAGCAUGAGGUGAGACAGAUUGAGACACAAUCCAGGAGAGCAGCAACAGAGGACACACCGAUCAAAUGCAAUGACAUCUUCAGACCUUUACCUGGACAAAACAAACCCAUCAGAACUGUGCUGACAAAGGGAGUCGCUGGCAUUGGAAAAACAGUCUCUGUGCAGAAGUUCAUCCUAGACUGGGCUGAAGGGAAAGUGAAUCAGGACGUCCAGCUCAUAUUUCCACUUCCUUUCAGAGAGCUCAAUCUGAUGAAGGACAAAACACUCAGUCUUUCAGAUCUUCUUCAUGACUUUUUCCCUGAAACAAAAAAAAUGGAAAUAUCCAGUGACAAAUAUAAAGUGUUGUUUAUCUUUGAUGGUCUGGAUGAGUGUCGUUUUAACUUACAUUUUCAAAGGAAUGAGACUCUACGAGAUGCAAACAAAAAGAAAUCAGUGGACGUGCUGCUGAUGAACCUCAUUGCGGGGAAUCUGCUUCCCUCUGCUCUCAUCUGGAUCACCUCCAGACCAGCAGCAGCUGAACUCAUCCCCUCUGAGUGUGUCCAUCGAGUGACAGAGGUACGAGGCUUCAAUGAGCCACAGAAGGAGGAAUACUUCAGGAAGAGAAUCAGUGAUCAGAGUCUGGCCAAUAAAAUCAUCUCACACCUGAAGUCAUCAAGGAGCCUCUACAUCAUGUGCCACAUCCCAGUGUUCUGCUGGAUCUCUGCCACUGUUCUAGAGAAGAUGUUGAGUGAAGCAGAGAUUGGAGAGAUUCCCAAGACUCUCACUCAAAUGUACACACACUUCCUGAUCCUUCAGACCGACAUUAAACAUGAGAAAGACUAUAAGAAGAACCUGACAGAUGAAGACAUGAUCCUCAAACUGGGGAAAGUGGCUUUUCAGCAGCUUGUGAAAGGCAAUGUGAUCUUCUAUGAGGAAGACCUGAGAGAGUGUGGCAUUGAUGUGACAGAAGCAUCAGUGUACUCUGGAUUGUGCACUCAGAUCUUCAGAGAGGAGUCAGGCUUGUAUCAGGGGAAAGUCUUCUGCUUUGUUCAUCUGAGUGUUCAGGAACAUCUAGCGGCUUUAUAUGUGCACCUCUGCUUCACAAACAACAACAGAAAUCUAUUUGAUCCAGUCACCAAAUCAGAUUUGUUGUCUAUAAUUAAGGACCGGUUUCAACUCAUGUUUAAACAUGUUUCAUUUUCUGAGCUCCAUCAGAGAGCUGUGAAUGAGGCUCUACAAAGUAAAAAUGGACAUCUGGACCUUUUUCUACGGUUCCUUCUGGGUCUGUCAGUCGAGUCUCAUCAGAUUCUCCUACAGGGACUAAUGACACUGAGAAGAAGCCAAUCUGACAGAAAUGAGAAAACAGUUGAGUACAUCAAGGAGAAGAUCAGGACCAUUGACUCUCCAGAGAAAUCCAUCAAUCUGUUCCACUGUCUGAAUGAACUGGGUGAUCAUUCACUAGUGGAGGAAAUACAACAGUAUCUGAAAUCUGGAACAAUAAGUAAAGCCAGACUCUCUUCAUCUCAGUGGUCAGCUGUAGUUUUUGUGUUGUUGACAUCAGAGAAGAAGCUGGAUGAGUUUGAUAUUAAUAAAUUUGUUGGAGAAAACAAUAAAGCUGAAAAACUGAAGGUUCUUCAGAAGCUGCUGCCUGUGAUUAAAGUUCAUCUGAGUGAUUGUGGAGUCACAGAGAAAGAUUGUGCUGCUCUGACUUCAGUUCUGAGAUCAAACCCUUCACACCUAAGAGAUCUGGAUCUGAAUAAUAAAAAACUACGAGAUUUGGGUGUGAAGCUUCUUUCUGUUGUACUGGAAGAUCCUGACUGUAAACUGGAGAAACUCUGGUUGAGGGAUUGUGGAGUCACGGAUGAAGGUUGUGCUGCUCUGGCUUCAGCUCUGAGAUCAAACCCCUCACACCUGAGAGAUCUGAGUCUGACUGGGAAUAAACUAGGAGAUUCAGUUCAUCUGCUCUCUGCUGUACUGGAGGAUCCUCACUGUAAACUGGAGAAACUGUGGUUGAGUUAUUGUGGAGUCACAGAUGAAGGUUGUGCUGCUCUGGCUUCAGCUCUGAGAUCAAACCCCUCACACCUGAGAGAUCUGAAUCUGUCUGUGAAUAAACUAGGAGAUUCAGUUCAUCUGCUCUCUGCUGUACUGGAGGAUCCUCACUGUAAACUGGAGACACUGUGGUUGAGGGAUUGUGGAGUCACAGAUGAAGGUUGUGCUGCUCUGGCUUCAGCUCUGAGAUCAAACCCCUCACACCUGAGACAUCUGAAUCUGUCUGUGAAUAAACUAGGAGAUUCAGUUAAUCUGCUCUCUGCUGUACUGGAGGAUCCUCACUGUAAACUGGAGACACUGGCGUUGUAUGAUUGUGGAGUCACAGAUGAAGGUUGUGCUGCUCUGGCUUCAGCUCUGAGAUCAAACCCCUCACACCUGAGAUAUCUGGAUCUGUCUGGGAAUAAACUAGGAGAUUCAGUUCAUCUGCUCUCUGCUGUACUGGAGGAUCCUCACUGUAAACUGGAGACACUGUGGUUGAGGGAUUGUGGAGUCACAGAUGAAGGUUGUGCUGCUCUGGCUUCAGCUCUGAGAUCAAACCCCUCACACCUGAGAGAACUGUAUCUGUCUGGGAAUAAACUCCGAGAUUCAGAUGUGAAGCUUCUCUCUGAUCUAAAGAAUGAUCCACAUUAUAAAUUGGAGACACUAGAUCACAACUGAACCACCCACUCCCGCUUGGAAACCAAUCAAAUGUUUAAACUUUUUUUAGCGCCAUCAUCAAUAUCCCGCCCCCUCAUCGUGCGACCUCGUGCAUCAUCAUCAAAGUCGUCAAUCAUCAGAAUACCCAAAAAGAAGAAAAAAAGCAAGCCAAGAGGUCUAAGCCACAUCCUACAACUGUGAAGUGGAGGCAAAGGGACAGAAAUGGGAAUGUUAUACGGCCGCUUCGAAAAAAAACCUCAAUAAAACAAAAACUGAAAAGAAAGGCUCCUAACCACGGUCCCACCAGUGUGCCCAUCCAAGAGGAAUUUGUUUAUCGAGCAGAAACUGGUAACUGUACACUAUGGUUAUAUGGAAUGGCAUCUGGUUAAUAGAGUUUAAGUAAUAUUCUGCCAGCUUCAACCUACAUAAUUGCAUAUUUUUUUAUAAAUGAGAUCCUGGUAACACUUUAGAAAACUGAUCCUUCAUUAAUGAAUAACUACACAGGAACAAAUGAGUAAUGCAUUAUUAACACUCUAUAACUUCUAUUAACUAACAAGAAACUCUGUUUAAUGAAUUAGUAAGUAAUAGUGCUCAGUUGAAGGUGGUAGUUCCCUAUUAGCUAACCAGUAACUACUGUUUUUUUUUUUUUUUUCAUACCUCCCAGAGAACUACUAAGAACUACUAUAUACAGGUUCAUAAUUAAUGUGAAUGAUGCAUAAUGUAUAAUUAAUUCUAAAGUAAAGGUCACGUUAACCCACUAGUAAUGACUGAAGUAUUAUCAAAUCCUUCAGAAGGAACUACUAAUUAUUUGGAUCAGUAUUAUAAAGUGAAGAUCAUGGUAACCCACUAGUAACUGCUUAAGUGUUACCAAAAACAUCAGAAGUAAUUACUGUACAAAACUGUACAAAAACCUCAAAAGUUUACAAUGACUCCAGUAGUUAGAGAGUUAUCAUGUUUCUCACUUUAUAAUAGUGAUCCAAAUAAUUAGUAAUUCCUUCUGAAGGAUUUGGUAAUACUUUAGUCAUUACUAGUGGGUUACCAUGAUCUUCACUUUAGAAUUAAUUAUAUAUUAUGCAUCAUUCACAUUAAUUAUGAACCUGUAUAUAGUAGUUCUUAGUAGUUCUCUGGGAGGUAUGAAAAAACAGCUUUUGGCAGCUGAAUAUGUUCAAGAACGCAUCUGCCAACACUGUCUUACUGCAGAGGCCAUUGUACGGUGCAGGGACUGUCUACCUAGGCAGUUUCUAUGCACCGUGUGUGAUGGAGAUGUUCAUCAGCACUUACCUCUCCAUAACAGAGACUCUAUGGCCCAUGGGUUCUUCACGCCAUUGUGUCCAACCACUGCAGUGAAGAGACAUUCCGAGGCCAUCGAGUUCUCUGAACAGGUUCGAUAUCUUCCACUACUUUUGCCAGAGAAAAUUUGUGCCUGUUCAGAAAGUUCCUGCAGGUUGAUCAGUGGCAAGCCCAUUAUUGUAAUAAAUUUUAAUGGACGGUACAAUCUCACCCUUCCAUCACUGGAGACCUCAUGCUGUGGGAAAACAUGGGCAGUGGGGCUCAGUGAUCUUCUCAAGUCUGGGUACUGGCCAGCCUCUAUACAUUUUGAGACCGUGUAUGAGGCUGGCCUUUUUAGGUCUUUUCUGGAUUUAAAACUUUUUGCUCCAGGUCUUUCACAUCAAGCGUUCCUUGGAAUGCUUGACCGGAGAACAGAGUACAAUGGCAGGAGUGGUAAAAUAUGUGGAGACACAUUCCAGAAAGCCUUGCUGGAGUGGACCUUUGCCCAGCAUGAGGUUGAGAGGCUUUGUGGUGUACAGCCAUUUAAAUGUCCUGCUUGCAGUCCUUCCAUGCAUGCCAUCUCAGUGGAUGGUAACAGGAAGCUGUACAGGUUCCAUAAUGCACAUGGGUGUAUUUUUUUUCUUUAUUUUUUUAUUGUACUACUUAACUGUCUAUAUCAUGUUUCUCUUUCCCAAUAAAAUUAAGCACAGAGAAGGGCUACUUCGAUGGGACAUUUAUAAUGAAGGAUGAAGAUGUUUCAUCCUUUGUGGGAUAUGUUCAUGAAAAGACCAAGCAUGCCACAGGUAAAGGGGUGUGUGGCUCUUCUCAAUGGACAGCAGCCAAGGAGUCUGCAAAAAAGUCGACAUCAAAGAUUGAUGAGGAAGGCCUUGAGAUUGCUGUGUGCCGACAUGGAGGACUUUUAAAAGGCCUAAAUAUGUUCAGAGGGGAAAUAUUUGCUUAUCCCCUGUUCCUUCAAAACACCCUCUCAAAAGAAAAUGUGUCAUUCUUCUGCUCAGAUGUCGCCUGCAAGUACUGGCCAUACUUAAAGAGAGUGGUGGGACACUGUCCAGAGCUAAGGCCUUUAUUAAAUAUGCGCCCACUAUUAUCAGUUAUGCAUGCCAAAGCACAUGAGUGGAGUUGUGAGAUAAAAUGGUCUGGAAGAAACCAAGAGGGAGCUGGUCUUACAAUUGGAGAAGAGGUGGAGCAAGUCAACUCCUUCUUGUCAAGAGCUGCAAUUUGCACUAAAUACAUGUCCAAAGCUGCACGUUCAGACAUGCUCACUGUUCUUGCUUCUGCAUGGAACAAACGGAAGUCUGAAAAUCUGGCCAAAUGUUUGUCUCAAAGAUACAUUAAGACAACCGAAAGGCUGAAAGUGGAAAGAGAGAGCUUUGAAAGUCUGCAGGCUGAGCUUAAUGUCAGUGAUGAUGACAUUCAGCAGUGGGUCAGUGAUGUCCAGCAGUGGGCCACAGUAUCAAGUGCAAAGGAGGACACUGGACUUGAGGGCAGAAUUCGAGGCCUUUAUGUCAGCAUAAAGCUGAGAAAAAUUAAUCUAUACCGUCAGACAGAUAGCAACAAGAGAAGGCACAAAAUAAGGAGGAAAAUUAAUGAAGACAAGUCAACCUUGGCAGCUGCCAUUAAGGACUUCAAUGAACAAUCAGUCCACCAGCUUCCUUCCGUGGAUGAACUGCUCACAGCUGAUCAUUUCCAAUGGCCAUGGGAAUGCCCUGACACUAGUAAUGGCAACCUCUCAACUAAGAAGAUGGUCUUUGACCGGUUCAUGAUGCUUUCCCGACUGAAGGAGGAGGAGCAGAUCAUAGUGACGGAGGUGAAGCAACACUGGCAAUCAUUGAAGGAAGCUGAAUGUUCCCUGAGGGAUCUCUCAGUUCAAAUACAAACUAACAACAGUGACUUUGAGCUUUCAGAGGAGAGUGCCAAUGGACUACUGUGCCUUCUUAAGAGAAAAAUGGAAGACCUUCAGUUUCUGCAAAAUAAUGCUAGGAUGUUAUAACGACAAUGUGUUCUGGGACAGGCUUCGGACAGCAUUCUAUUUGAUAACAUUUCCUAUAAAGAAACUGAGGCAAUAAACUACAGCUCUGAUGAAACAGACAGUGAUGAGGACUAAACCUGAGUAUAUAGAAUAGACAGAUACUGAAGAACUAUUUUAAUAAGCUGUAUUUCUUUUUCUUUUUCUUUUUUCACUGUGAGAAACAUUUUAGCAUAUUAACAGAAUCUAUUUAAUAUUUUCCCAUCCUAAUGGAAAUGAGAUUAAGGUUCAGCAGUACAAGUUUUGACUAUUAUUUUUGAAUCUUUAAAUGUGUUUGUGUAUGUAAGACAGGUGUUUCACUCCACGCAUUUUUAUAGUCUUAUAAACAGCCAUACAACCUCCAUCCCUAUUAAUUAUAUUCUAUUAUUUCCAUUUUCCUUAGCUCUCAUGGGACCAUACAGUGUAUAUCUGUGAGGGGUGUUUUGCAGUGUGUACAUAUCUUAUAUUGAUAGAAAGUAUAUAAGGAUACAUAACGUUUUCACCUAAUAAUUUUUUUUCCUUACUGUAAGCAAAAUAAAAUACUUGUACAGUGAUCUACAAAAACAGUCUUGUCUUUUUAUCUCCUCUCUGUUCAGGCAGGUUUUGCAUGUAAUGUGCAGAUAAUUCUGCAGUAUAUUCUCUUUUGACUAAUACUGUUCUGAUAAAUACUAUGACAUAGUCAGUGCAGUUCUUACAAAUUGUAGUCUGUUACUAAUUCCAAAUUACAUGACAAAUUGUAUCCAUUACAUUACACAUUUAAGGUAAUAGACUAUGAUUUGUAUUUGAUAUGUUUAUCUGCAUGUCAUGUGACCAUUAAUGUACAUCAGAGAAUAAAACUUAUUAUUAUUUUAUUUUUGACCUAACUUAACUAAAAAUCUCAGCGCUUACUUCAAGUAAAAUUAUUAGUAGGUCAAAGAGGUUCAUCUGACAAAAAUUGUGGAGAAACACUGCAUUGCAUGUUAAUAUGAAAUGACGUGAAUUUGUACAUUUUAGUGUGUUUAAAAGACAAAAGCCUUCCAAGGACAGUGAUACAUGGUUAAAUGACUCAGUGUUAUUCAAUUAAUAAUGUUUACAUCAUAAUUAGUUACUACCCAACAAUCAACAAUGAUUAUACAAUGUAGAAUUGCAUUUUAGGUAAUAGUCUAAAUAUAGUUGUCUUAUGCCACAAUUCAGAAUCUUGAAUUAGCAUUUUAUUUAUAAUGUCUUGGGUUAGGGUUAGGGUUAGAGCUGUCCUAAUGCAAGUAACCAAGAAAAUGUAAAAAAUCAUCCAGAAUGUGGACUAUUUUAUCAGUGUUUUUAAAUACAUCAACCCACCUGAUUUUCAUGUUGUAUGCUAUAAUGUAAUCAAUCAAUGCUAAAUUUAGUACUAAAUCAGCAUGUCAAGACCAGUUGUGUUCAUUUGAAGUAUAACUGAUUAUAUUACAGUGAUUGGUUAUUAAAUUAUAAAGUACAAUGACAUUCUUUUGUUGGUCCUUUUGACGUGAAGAAUGAGAAAGCAUGAGUUAAGUAUUACAAGCAAGGCCCAACACUGGAUAAGGAUGUGUAAUAGUGCAAUGAAGUGUCACAAUAUGUAUUGGUUGUUUAAAUUGGUGUCUUUGUUUACUGUAAACACUGUAUUCUUGUUCUUGAUCUAAUUAAAUAAACGGAAGCCCAUUCCAAAUGGGCAUUUAUGAUGA